GGCGAGCCGCUCUUCGACCACUUCGGGUCUCUUUAUUUACGCCUCGGUAGAACGACGCACUCCAUCAAUGCUCGGCCGCGGCUCCGCUCAUCUCUAUCGCGUGCGUCCAGGUUUUCCAAUGUAGAGGAAUUAGUUGGAGGCAGCAACUGUAUAAUUUGCAAGAAGAUCUAAGGUGAUAUACCUAUGAUUUUCUUGCAAGUUAUGCAAUUGCUGCCUCAAGCUCGUCGUUUCCCUUUGCCAGGCCUGUAGAUCAGUAAAUUAAACUUAAAUGCCACGGUAUGAUUUCUUUUUGACGAAUACAUUAAUUAGCAGAAGAAUAUAUAUUUCAGUUGAAUACUACAUGUUGCAGCCCGAAAAGAAUCAUUCUUCUUUAGUGGGUUUCUCUAGAAAAAGUUAAAGAAUCAUAUUACAUGAAACAAUAUAACUCCAUUUAUUUACUACUUGACUUGGAUCAAUGUUAAAAAAAGGAAAUGUCCAUGAAUUGGAAUGCCAAAAAGGAUAAUACAUGCUAAAGAAUUGCUUAAUUUUUGUUUUUUUUUUGUUUUUAUGAAUCUCACUUCAAACUGAAUGAAUUUUGUUUUCGCGCUUUGGUAAAUUGCAUGUAUUUAUGUGCAUGCAAUUCUAUCAGAACUCAACCUUUGCGCUUGAUACAAUUAAGCAGCUAUAUAUCUUAUGUGGUGCUAUAUAUUCAUGAGAUACACCAAUAAUUGAAUACACUAUCAAUCUACUAUGGUUAAUUUUACUAAGUUUUCUCACAACAAUUAUGAGGAAUAAUUGAAUAAUUUGACAUAAAUUUUCUUAUUUUUCUAUAAAACAUUUUCUAAGACAGAAAAACUGAAUUUUCCUGAAACAAAAGUUUUGCUCGCGCGUUGAUAGUAAAUAUUGUGAUUUUCAUCCCGUAAAAUGACUUACAAAUCAGCUUGCAGGAUCAGACCAUUUAUUCAUCCAAAACAAAAAUACCUUCACUUCCGCAGACGAAGACGUAAUCAAAUGUUGUUCCUCUUUUGAUGCGGUGUAUCGGUCGAUCACAGAUUUCAUGCUGAUAUAUUCAGAAGUAACCCAAAAUAAAAAAUUAGAAUGAACAUAAUUUAUUUACUGACCAAGAUCUGCAAGAUAAAAUUUUUCAGUGAGUUACUACGUUAGGGAUGUCAUAGAUCAUGAUUCAUUAGCCACAUGAUUACUUGCAUAAAAGAGCUGCUCUAACUGGUAAGGAGAAAAAGAGUGAGGAGAAGAUGGGGAAGAACCUGGUGUUUGAGAACUCAUAGAGCCGGCCGGUGCUGGAGAAGACAGCGACACCAACCUGGGCGUCGCAGAGGAUGGCGAGCUCCUUAGCCUUCUUCAGCAAUCCGUUCCUCCUCUUCGAGAAGGUCACCUGUCGGCUCGUCGCGUCGUCGAUCCUUCGGAUCACUAUCUUCCCUCUUCCCAUGAUCUGCAGAACACACCUGAUCCGGCAAUGAAACUACGGAAAAGCCGAUGGAAAAAAGCAGACUCCUCGAUCGUUCAGAUCUGGGGAGAAGGGCAACGAGAGAUUGAGGUGAUCGAAACCCUAGUAGUAGAAGUCAGAAGCGUCGGCGACUCGAUCGCGUACCUGAUGUUUAUCGAUCGGUUAACACUCAGCGAGCCCUGGCUAUGCGGUCAAUGGGCUUGAUCAAUCGACGAGGGGCAUGGAAAAGUGGAGGCGGGGGCUUCUGCUCUUCCACCUCUCGAGCUAAAUGUUCGACCGCUUGGGGAAUUUGUUUAUUCGUGAACUUUUUAUUUUUGCUAAUUUUAAGAGUUUAAGGAGCAUUUUGAAAACAGCGAAUAAACCCUGGAGUUCAAUGAAA